ACUCAGGUGCUGGGAGCUGCUCCUCUUGCAAAUUGGCCUUGAUUGAAGAGGAAGAGAAUGAUUAGGCUGAAGGGGAGCGAUGGGGGUGGCAGGCGAAAACACCGAGGUCUGCCCCCUCUCAGACCAUGAGCACCAAAGAUGUCCCAGCUCUGGCUGCCCCUGCUGGGGUCCUCCAUGGAGCAGUUUGUCUUGAUAAACUCGGGGAUGACACCACAGUGUGAGCACGGAUGCUACCUCCGAAACCAUCCAGCUGCUUCACAGUGCAGGGCCAAGGAACUGGUCCCAGAUUCAACCGAGAACCUCUGGCCCCCAAGUGCAGAGCAUUAACAGCCAGGAAUCCCAAACAAACCUGCCACAGGUGAGGCACCGCCAAACCCCCCGGGUUGUCUGUGCACAAAAGGGGUCGGGUCAUCCCUUGCGCAGCCCCGCGACUGCAGCCUCGUGCGGUGCAGGGUUUCUUCUGAAGACGGGAGGGCUUUGUCGUGCAAGAGGAGCCGUGUGGGUUUGGCAAUCCAGAUGCGCAGGUAACUCGGUGCCUAAGCAGAUCAUUUGCGUCCAGGAUGACUUGGAAGACACAUGGAAGCCAGUGACCACCUGGAGCUGUAGAUGGGGUCGAUGGGCGUCGAGGCAGUAACAUCUCAGGUCCAGACGGGCACCCAGCAGCGGCAUCCUGGCAGGUGACUUGAGAUCUCUAUCAGAUGGUGGAUCCCUGCACAGAUACCCAAGGAACCAACAAGCCAUUUUUGCAGGAACAUCUUUGCUCCCAACAUAUCUUGGGCUCUCACUUGCGUUUGUCCUGCCCAUCUUUGCACAUGGGGUGUCUGCACAUGCCCAGCUGGAAGAUGAGGAUGUGAGUGUGCUUAUGGAGGUGGUUCUGGAGAUGGAUGGGUGCAGUCCUACCACCCCUGCCAAUAUUUGCAGCUUGCAACAUUAAUGCUUAUGGUAUUUACAGCAAAACACAACCAUAAGAGAUGGUUAAUGCGUACUGCUUCCCAGCAUGGCUGCUUCCAGAAAUCUCCAGGUUUUGAUGUGCUGGCUAUUUCAAGUAAGCCCUAGUUUAUGUAUUUUCUUUUCAUAAGCUCUCCACAGCCAAGCUGCGACAGCUAAGAGAAACCCGCUCAGUCUUUCAGCGAUAACAUCUCAAUUAUCAGAGCACUGCCUUCUUGCACAUGAGGGUUGUGCAUGCGCGUGUUGACACUCCUUAAAGUAUUUUCGGAGCUGAAGCAUAAGCAGGGACUCAGCUUGGUGUGGCAUUGGGGACGCUGAAAAAAAUGCCAGGAGGGAAAGGCCAACCUCAAUUUGUGUCAUUUAAUGCCACUUAACGUCUGUCACCUUGUUUAGAAUAGGACAGUCGAUAGCAAAUAUGUAGUAGAGCCAAGUUUCCUCAUUAAAUGCUAACAACGCAGUUGUACCUCACCCUGGUGCUCGUAUCGUAGGGAAUUGUGUGCAUCCUGCAGUUGGAUGAUGUGCUGAGACACACGCCGUGGGUUUCCUGCGCCGUGUGCUCUGCUGUUGAUAAAGGAAGCCGGGAGGGCUGAUGCCAGGAAUCACAUGGGAAAUCUGGGUUUCUGGCUGCCCACACAGCUCCAGUGUGACCAAAUGUUGGCAGGAGCAAUCCCAGAGCAUCCCCUGGAGAUCAGAUGGGCAGAGGACUGGGAAUUGCUGUUUGUUUUCAUGACCACCUUUCCCUUGCAAAGUAGAUGCCACAUUAUCACUAGGUUGAGCUGUUGGCUGCAACGGAGCCGUACUCAAAAUCAGACAAAACCAAAGCUGUUAGAUCUUUCCCUAAGUCCUCUUGAAAGCAUCACAGGUGUAGAAGAAAUUACACCAUUCUGUAUGGAUUCAUGCCUGCUCUCAUGGAUCUCCCUGGCCUCAGGCUGACCAUGUGCCUCCACUGCUCCAUUUUUUCCAGCAGUGGGGAUGUGAGAAGCCUCAAGAGGGACAGAAAGGCUUUGCCCGAGCAGCAGUAGGAGCCCUUGAGACCAGAAACCAAUAAUCCUUGCCUGGAGCUGGUCUCUUUGGCUCCAGGCACUGCUGAGUUUGCUGGUGGAGAAAACCACUGCACUGGAUCAAACCACUGUUAAAGCAGACUUCACAAAUGUGAAUAGCUAGUGGUCAAAAAGAGC